rnacentral:misc_RNA from 1 species
AGCUUCUCUUGCAAUGUAAGUACCUGAAGCAACAAGGCAUGAACAAUUGAAUCACUAUGCAUUCAUAAUCCCCUUGUCCAAAAUGUAGAAUUUUACAAGAAUUUAAAUAAAUUGAUUUCUUUUUUUUGUUAAUUUUCAUGUUUGUAAUGAAUGAAUUCAAUUAUUUUUAAUUUAAAAAACUUUUCAUUUUAAAAAAAAUCUAAAUCAAGCAUGAUUUUGUGGAAAUUCAAUUGAAUUCUGUUCUUGUAAAUGAUUUAUUCCAAAGGAAGUCAAUAUCAAAGGCAAUGGAAUUUACUGUAAACAAGGCUUGGUGAAUAAACUGCACUCUACAACCCCAACCCCCAAAAACCCACCCGAAAGAAGCCUACAAAAAACUAUUUUGGCUAUGACAAACUCAAGUAGCAAAAAGAGAAAGAAAUAUAUAAUAACCAUUUCAUUUGAUUUGUCCACG